rnacentral:lncRNA from 1 species
AAAUUUGCUUAAAUCAAACCCAGACAGAGGAACAUGCUCCAUCCUCUUCUAUUUGUUUAUCUUUUAGAAAAUCAAACUAUCAAAAUAUUGUGAAAUAACUAAAAUCUAAGUCGAAUUGGUAUCUCCCGAAACCGAUCCGAAUCUAAAACCCCAUCCAACAAAUUCAAAAUGGUAUCUUGUAAAGAAAAAAUUCAAUUCAAAACAGUAUCUUGUAAAAACUCAAUACAACCAAGUUAAAAAUUAAAAUAUGUCUAAAUCUAAAAUCAAAACAAUUCCCGGUAAGAACCACUCCAAACCAAGCCAAAAACCAAAUCGAAACAAAGUCGCAUCAAAAAAUCAAAUGGAUAGAAACAAAGAUGAAA